AAGAAAGUGUAGGCGUGCGUAAGUGAUGUCAACAACAGCACACAAACCUGUGAUUGGCUAGCUGCUCAGAGGUUUCAGUAUUUAAAUGCAGCAACUUUCCGCUAAAUCUUCACACUUCCUUCAGCUUCUUCGGAGAGCUUUUAUUCUGAGGAGUCACCAAGGGUAAAGUACGUUUUUAAAAACUUAUUUUCUUAUUUCUAUUUAAAUACAUGGGAUUUGUUCUCUCCAAGAAAGAAGAAGGCAGACUAUGUGUCUUUCAGCCCGCAUAGGAUUUUGGAGCUAACACUCUUUAAGGGUAGUUUCUGCCAAACAUACAGCUGUUCAGGAGAUUUGGGGCACAAUGAAUUUACACUUACCAGUCAAUGUUAAUACCCGUACUGGCCCUACCAGAAACAUUCACGUUGAAGAUUCUGACUGUUCUUCUUUAAAUUAUUUACCGUACAUAACUUUAAUAAAUUAAUUUUUUGAGGGAUGUCUCUGGCAACAAUUACUUCUCUAGUUUUCUAGAGUGUUUCAAUUAGAACUUCAAAUGACUGGUGUCCAGUCCAGGGUGUACCCUGCCUUGCGCCCAUUGCUGGCUGGGAUAGACUCCAGCUCCCCUGCGACUCUGUAUAGGGUAAAGAGGUUAGAAAAUGGAUGGGAUGGAAGUUUUGUUUCAAUUACUUUAAGAUGUACAAUCUAAGCAUUACAAUAAUUAUAAUCAAAACCGAACACUGUUUUCACAGGUGUUAAUUACAAACAUGAAGACCAUAAUUUUGCUCACCUGCCUCUUUGGCAGCAUCUUUGCAGCACCAAUGCAGCCUCUUUAUGAGUUUCUGCCACAGGUGGAGACACCCCAGCAAACUGCUCCAUAUCGUCAGCAACCCCAACAGGUGAGGCAUACAGCAAGCGUCCCGCAAACAGAGCAAAAAAAUAAUAAUUUCAGAUUUAUCCAAAUUCAUUACCUCCUCCUGAAUAGUAUAGCCCUGAACAAACUCGGAAAAACGGCACCCAUAUGAAUAACAACUUUCCUUCCCUCACAACUGAAUUAAUCUUCUACUGCAUAUUCUAGAUGUAUGUCUUCUCUGAAUCAAAUAAAUUUUAUUAAAACAGACAAUACUGAAUUCUGAAACACCUUUUAUUUCUUAUGGUUAAGGAUCUAAUUUGCAUUAGUUCCUACACAGAAAUUAGUUGUGGUUUGGUCUGAUCUCAUUUUAAACCUGCCUUAAGACAUGAAACAGCUGAGCACCUUAUACUACAGUAUAUGCUGUAUAAUACAGUAUAAUAGUAUAUAAUAUUAUAACUUGAUUCCUGGUAAUUACAUUAAAAUUCCAAUUUAACUGCUGAAUUUUGCUAUGCAAUAAAACUGAUUGAUUUGUUUUAGCAGAACAAUCCUUAUGCUCCACCAUCACAGACACCCCAGCAGCAAGGACCUACCCGGCCUGCAAGCUUUGAGAUUGUGAGUUUCCUACCAUAUUUUUCUUUUUCAAGAAAGUGUUAUGCCUGACAGAUGCUCAUGCAGCUUUCAAAUCCUAAUGCAAUUUUUUUUUUCCUUCGCAUUCUUUCAACUUUAAAUAUAAACGUCUCUCCCCCUGUCUGAAAUGCAGAACAGAAAUAGUCUGGUAGAUUUAAUCGGUAACAGACUCAGCAGUUAUCUACUUGUACAAUCUUUCUUAGUCAGCCAGGGAAAGUGAUUCUAUCACCUCUUUUUGAAAAAGUACUUGGAAAUCUAACAGAUUCCUUAUUUCUGUGCAGCUCUUUCCUUAUGGAUACUCAAGACCGUCUUUCGGAGGUCCUGAGCAUGCUGGGGCAGUAGGUUUCAGAUUCUUCUUUUAAAUUUAUGUCUUUGUCUGUGUGAAAUUGUCAAUCAUGUUUACUUAUUGUUUUGAUUCCCUUGAAGAUGUUCCCUUCCCAGGCAUUUAUCAGACAGAAGAUCCCCCAGCCCGCUGGUAGACAGAGCAUUGAAAUUGUACGUUUUGGGAUUUUUGUUUUUCUUUUAGGGAUAUUGUUUGUUUUUUUUCAUACCUUAGUAGAAGAGUUGGUUCAUUUUUUUUAUUCCAUUUAGCCAUUUAGCACCACAUAGCCAUUUCCACCUGGAAUAAUCACUGUAAUCAAAAUACAGCAGUUUUAAAGCUCAUGCUGAAGUCUGAAUCGCUUAUAUCAACUGGAAUAUUUUCAUGUAGAUUUCUACUUAAUGACUGGAUAUAUGAAUUACUUGAUAUGUGUGGACUGCACUGUGCAAGAUUACACCUCAGGAACAAUAGCAGGGGCCCCUGUGGUGGGGUUGAAAGUGGCUUGAAAAAUUGAUAAAUCUUUUGUUUUCUUCCAGCUCUUCCCCUACAGCUUUGGACAGCACCAGCAGGUACGUUACAUCUACAUGCUGUUAAUUAUAAAAAAAUAUUACAGAGUUGUGUAUUGUUCUUGUACCUGUGAUAAAGAUUGUGGUCACUAUUAGAUUUAAAGGAAACGGGCUUUUAGAAUACAGGAUGAAACUCAUUUACAUUGUUGGGACAUUUUCUCAGAUUUUGUCCUGACAAAGUCAGCAAUACACGCCAACACACACACACACACACACACACACACACACACACGCGCGCCACAUAAAAAGGUUCCUGUUCUCUCAUACCUGGCUGUGCUGUUGCGUUUACAGAUGUUCCCAGGAGCCUCCAACAUGCCUCAGCCACCUCAGAUGCCCCAGCAACCUCAGCUGCCACAGCUACCCCAGCAACCCAAUGUAAAUUAUUGCUCUUUCCUCCUUUACUGUCCAUAGACUCCUAAUAUUUCAAUGCAAUACCUCCAGUUUAUACUAAUGAAACAACAUUUUUGUCUUUUUAGAUGUUCCCAUAUGGAAAUAUGCCCCAGACAGGAGGACCACAGCAGAACCCGAAUGUAAGAUAUUUUGAGAUAGUCAUGGAUUGUCACUCCCUCGGGUAUUAAAGAAGAGCAGUAAUAUUAUGUAUUUUUUCUUUCCUUUCUGAAGGUGUUCCAUGGCUUUGGAAACGUGCCACCAAAUGUAAGAUACUCGCCGAUUUUGUAUUCCACUCUGUUAAUGGCCGCCGUGGAACCUGACAGAUGAGUGUGUAUUCAUCUUGUCUCUCUGUCCAUCCACAGUUGUUCCCCUCCUUCGGAAACCUGCCACACCUGCCCCCUAACGUAAGACCACUGCUUCCUCAUGAUCUUUCACCGCGGUUGUUUUGUACAAAACUUCAACAAAGAUUUCUUCUUGAGUAUAUACUGUAUAUAUAUAUACACACACAGCAAGGACAGGCUAGCCAAAAUAUAUAGAUAUAUAUUCCUGAUAUAAAUCAUGAAUCUGCCCAUAGAAAUGGAAGGCACCCAUUAAAACGCAUCCACCAAGGGGCCUGUGAAACAGAUGUGUCCAGGGUCUGCCCUGGCUUCAGCACAUAGCCAGUCCAAUGUCCUGUAACACUAACGGUGUGGGUCUCUGGGUUUCCCUGCAGUUUAUUCCAAAUUUCGGAAUACCCCAGCCUGUCCCUCAGGAGCCAACCCAGCCUGUCCAGCCCGUCCAGCCUGUCCAGCCUGUCCAGCCCGUCCAGCCUGUCCAGCCAAGUCAGAAUGUAAGGCGAUAACUGACCUUUUACUGCCAUCCCACUCUUCCGCCUGUGCCACUGUUUGAUCGUUUUUAUACAGGUGCAUUAUGAGGUACCAAGAAACCCUCACACAUUGACUAUCCACGUGUAAAGUGCUCAUGUCACCCAUGCGCGCCUAAAAUAAAUAUACAGUAUUAUUUUUCACUUGAUGUCUGUGUUUAUUUACUGUCUUGUAAGACGUGAAUCCAAAAGUAUUUGUCUGAGAAAAUAAAUGAAAAACACAUUUGCUCUUUGUCGGCCAGACCCAUUGCUGUGCUCUCACGUUGCUUUGGACUGCUGUGUGUAAUUCGAUUUUUUUUUUUCAUUACAGACCCCCGUUGAGGAACAGGAUUAAUACCGUAAGUAAUCACCUAAGGCCACGUUAUGCGAAAUUAACAUGACAUGUUUUACAUUUUAACAUGAAAAAACUGCUAUCAUUUUUUUUCUAAAUUGUUUAAAUACCUUUAAUGAAAAAGCAUUUCCUGUUACCUCCGUUCAGUUUAAACAUUUCCCUGAUGAUUGUUUUUAAUUAAACUUGCACAUUUUUAAAAUAUGAGACCACCUUUGUUGCAAGUAAUCAGUCAGUUGUUAAAAACAAAGGUUGACUGUGCCCUUCUUUUCUUACUAGUAUAGUCUUGAGUGUAUCAUUUGGAAUAUUGUAUCUAUAUCGUCCGAUUUACGGAGUAUGCUAAACAACCAAUCAAAAAAAGACCAUUAAAAGAUAAUGUACACUAUGUGUCUCUUUUUUAAGUUGUAUCUCAUAAUAUGUUUAAAAAGGGUUUGAUACAAAACUACUUUUACGACCAUUCUUGGCACAAGGUUGCGAUUGUGCAGAUGUGAUGGCGGAAUUCCGAAGGUUUAUCAACAGACGUUUUUAUUCUUCACAUUUUUAAAUAACUUUUCGUUCUUGUAGACGGUGUCUUGACCGAUAUGCUGCGAAGCUGGUCUUCCGACUGAUUCAAGAUGUUGAAGUGCUUCUACUCGUCUGGCGCGUACACAUCCUCGGCUCGACCUCGUAUUUUCUUUUCCUCUUGAUAAUGAUUCAAGUAGAAAAAGAAGAAUAUUGAUAAGCAGCCUAGAGCGUCACUGCGUAUUUGUUCUGCUUUUAGAAUUUAGCUCUCUGUUUAAAAAAAAAUAAUGUGACUGCUCCUUUUACACGUAUGUAACUUUAGAAAUGUGACUGAAACAGGAAGUAGUAAGAUCUGGAAAGCAUGGUCGUUUAUAAACGCGCUGAUUAACAUUAAUUUCUUCAGGCUUAUUUAAUGCUUUUGUGACGAACAUUAUGUAUAUGUGAGCAAUAGUGCAAAAGCAAAUGCGGUCGUUAUUUUUUCCAUCAUGGUGUGUUAAAUGUGAUAAUAGAAAUGUCCAGCUAUUUAAAAAUGUUUUUAAGCUGUUUGAAAAAUAUGAUGUGCCUAGAAAUAAAGUUUAAGUCCAUCAAAAAUGUUUUUUUUUCUAUUAUUUCUCUUUCGAUAACAUUCACUAAUGCGAAAGUCAGAUUCAUAAGGGAAAGAUACAGUAAAUGUUGUUGUAAGGACUUUUUUCUUGAAUACACCUUACUACAAACUAUGUGUUUGAGGAUUAGGGGGUAAGAUUCAAAGAAUUUUAUCCUGUUGUGUGAAUUAAAAACACUGGUGUAU
rnacentral:lncRNA from 1 species